rnacentral:lncRNA from 1 species
UUCAGUACCCAGUUGUACGUGGUGCAUAUACGGCCCUCAUAUGUCUUGCAAUGAAAUGCUGUCCCUGGGAUGAAACUCACCAGAUUGAGACACAGAAAAAGAAUUACCAAAUGCACGGGAAGCCUGCGACUCCUAGCUUAUGUUUUCCUAUUUGUAAACUGGUAAUAAUAUUUGAUUAUGUACCACUAAGCAUUGGCAGGCCUAUACACAUGACUAGACCAGUGGACUGUCAGGAGUUCAGAUGAGACAUGAAAUUGAGUGUCUGUAUUAGGUCAAGGAGGAAGGAAUGUGAAGUCAAAUUUAGAGUGGUUUAAAAAUGUUCUGCCCUCUGAAACUGCUCCUACUCAGUAAUCAGAAAAGCCUUCUAAACACAAAGCAGGGGCUUUCCCAGAACAAAAACCAGACUGGAUUGGGGGUUCUGGUGAGGAUAAUAUGGAGCCAGGCAUCUCACACAAAGCCAAGAAGUCACUGGAUAGCCACUCCCCUGAGAUGCCUUUUUAAGUUGAGAAGUUUUGAUCCUCAGUGUUCCUGGGUGCAAAAUCUUUGAAAUAAUUCAGAAAGAAGAGUAAUUACCACCUUGCUGUUGCAUCACCCUGGGGGGCUUAAGCUUAGAGACCAUAUUGUAACCAGGCAG